rnacentral:rRNA from 1 species
GGCGCAAGCCUGAUGCAGCGACGCCGCGUGAGGGAUGACGGCCUUCGGGUUGUAAACCUCUUUCACCAGGGACGAAGCGUGAGUGACGGUACCUGGAGAAGAAGCACCGGCCAACUACGUGCCAGCAGCCGCGGUAAUACGUAGGGUGCGAGCGUUGUCCGGAAUUACUGGGCGUAAAGAGCUCGUAGGCGGUUUGUCGCGUCGUCUGUGAAAUUCUGCAACUCAAUUGCAGGCGUGCAGGCGAUACGGGCAGACUUGAGUACUACAGGGGAGACUGGAAUUCCUGGUGUAGCGGUGAAAUGCGCAGAUAUCAGGAGGAACACCGGUGGCGAAGGCGGGUCUCUGGGUAGUAACUGACGCUGAGGAGCGAAAGCGUGGGUAGCGAACAGGGUUAGAUACCCUGGUAGUCCACGCCGUAAACGGUGGGUACUAGGUGUGGGUUCCUUUUCACGGGAUCCGUGCCGUAGCUAACGCAUUAAGUACCCCGCCUGGGGAGUACGGCCG